rnacentral:rRNA from 1 species
CCUACGGGUGGCAGCAGUGGGGGAUAUUGCACAAUGGGGGAAACCCUGAUGCAGCGACGCCGCGUGGGUGAAGAAGCGCCUCGGCGCGUAAAGUCCUGUCAGCAGGGAAGAAAAUGACGGUAUCUGACGAAGAAGCACCGGCUAACUACGUGCCAGCAGCCGCGGUAAUACGUAGGGGGCAAGCGUUAUCCGGAUUUACUGGGUGUAAAGGGCGCGCAGACGGGGAUGCAAGCCAGGAGUGAAAGCCCAGGGCUCAACCCCGGGACUGCACUUGAAACUGCGUGGCUAGAGUGCGGGAGGGGCAGGCGGAAUUCCUGGUGUAGGGGUGAAAUGCGUAGAGAUCAGGAGGAACACUGGUGGCGAAGGCGACCUGCUGGAAUGCAACUGACGUUGAGGCCCGAAAGCGUGGGGAGCAAACAGGAUUAGAUACCCCUGUAGUC